rnacentral:rRNA from 1 species
UACGAACGCUGGCGGCGUGCUUAACACAUGCAAGUCGAACGGAAAGGCCCUGCUUUUGUGGGGUGCUCGAGUGGCGAACGGGUGAGUAACACGUGAGUAACCUGCCCUUGACUUUGGGAUAACUUCAGGAAACUGGGGCUAAUACCGGAUAGGAGCUCCUGCUGCAUGGUGGGGGUUGGAAAGUUUCGGCGGUUGGGGAUGGACUCGCGGCUUAUCAGCUUGUUGGUGGGGUAGUGGCUUACCAAGGCUUUGACGGGUAGCCGGCCUGAGAGGGUGACCGGCCACAUUGGGACUGAGAUACGGCCCAGACUCCCACGGGAGGCAGCAGUGGGGAAUAUUGCACAAUGGGCGGAAGCCUGAUGCAGCAACGCCGCGUGCGGGAUGACGGCCUUCGGGUUGUAAACCGCUUUCGCCUGUGACGAAGCGUGAGUGACGGUAAUGGGUAAAGAAGCACCGGCUAACUACGUG